GAUGAACGCUGGCGGCGUGCUUAACACAUGCAAGUCGAACGGAAAGGCCCAAGCUUGCUUGGGUACUCGAGUGGCGAACGGGUGAGUAACACGUGGGUGAUCUGCCCUGCACUUCGGGAUAAGCCUGGGAAACUGGGUCUAAUACCGGAUAGGACCACUUCUUGGAUGUUGUGGUGGAAAGUUUUUUCGGUGUGGGAUGAGCUCGCGGCCUAUCAGCUUGUUGGUGGGGUAAUGGCCUACCAAGGCGUCGACGGGUAGCCGGCCUGAGAGGGUGUACGGCCACAUUGGGACUGAGAUACGGCCCAGACUCCUACGGGAGGCAGCAGUGGGGAAUAUUGCACAAGGGGCGCAAGCCUGAUGCAGCGACGCCGCGGGGGGGAUGACGGCCUUCGGGUUGUAAACUCCUUUCGCUAGGGACGAAGCGUUUUGUGACGGUACCUGGAGAAGAAGCACCGGCUAACUACGUG
rnacentral:rRNA from 1 species